rnacentral:rRNA from 1 species
UACGGAGGGUGCAAGCGUUGCUCGGAAUUAUUGGGCGUAAAGGGUAGGUAGGUGGUCUCAUUUGUCUGGGGUGAAGGCCUUGAGCUUAACUCAAGAAGUGCCCCAGAAACGGUGAGACUCGAGUCCUGGAGAGGGUCGUGGAAUUCCCGGUGUAGCGGUGAAAUGCGUAGAGAUCGGGAGGAACACCAGAGGCGAAGGCGGCGACCUGGACAGGUACUGACACUCAACUACGAAAGCGUGGGGAGCAAACAGG